UACUCGUUCAAAAAUGAUAUGGUACUUGUCUAAAGGCCAAUAAAAUAAUAAUUAUUGUUUAAUUAAUUCCAUAUAGCAUAGCCACUCAUAUACGAUCAUCAUCUAUAUGUAAUGAUCCUGGUGACAAUUUUAAGCUCAACUGGACCGAUGGUCCGGUGAGCUUAUACCAUGGUGCAGCGCCCGUCGUCCGUCCGUCCGUCCGUCGUUCGUCAACGUUGGCCAGAAACAUCCUUGGGGGAGGAAAACAGAUUUUGCGUUAAUGACGAUUCUGACUCCUAAGGGCCAGAGGGACGAGGUCAAAUAGGAGAAAUAGAGGUCCAAGUUCUGGUUACGAGAGAUGUGUGGGUCUGUUCUAUAAAACUUCCCUGGACAGCUACUAUGGCCGUUAUCAGAUAUACACCGAUUAUAACCAUUGGCGUUAUCAUUAUUCCUAUCGUUACUGCCCUGACCGAUGUUGUACGAUAAAUAACGGAUACACGUUCUUUAGCCGGGACUAUUCCUAUAGGACCUGCUGUUAUAGUUACGUAGACGUCACACCUUCCUACACAUCAUCUGGAAAAACAGUAAGCACCACAGGGCUGAUCGUUGGGUGCACUUUUGGAGGGACACUUUUUGCCGUGCUGGUAAUAUUUUCCUUGCUGGUUGCCCGUUGUAUGUAUCGAGACAGGAAAAGAAUCGACCCAACAUCCAUAUCAAACGGAUCAAGUCCACCUGACGAAUCUAUCGUUGCCAUGGCGGACAACCCAGAGGACGGAACCAGUUUCACUAAUACAACUUCAUCCAAGGCGGCAAACCCAGCAACCGAAGUCACUAUUACAUAAUACCUUAUAGACCUCGUCAGUGACGCUAGGGACAUCAUACGGUUGUUCCCUCCUUCUAGGACACAAUACCUCCAUGCGAAAUAGAAACUCAUGUAAUAUCCUUUACUUAUAUAUGUAAUUAUUCUCGUAUUGCAAAGGUGACCCAACUUUAACAUCUGAUGAUUUAUGUUGGGAAAAAUAUUCUGUUAUACUUAAAUCACAGGAUUUUGAAUAUGAAAAUAAGUUUCGAAUGAGAUGAUUUAUAGGUUUACAUUAACCGUCUCAACCGUGUAACCAUUGAAAUCAGAUAUCACAAGACAUAACUUCAAUAUGUAGAAAACCCACAUCCUAUUUCCUGUAAUUUUUCAGCCAACUGAAAUGCCAAUUUGCUUCCUUCCAAGACAUAUGAAGAACGUAUUUGCUUCUUUAAACAAAAAUACAAACACAAUUCUCGAGAUGAAUUUAAGUUUAGCCAUCAGCUUGUCACCUAUCAUUUAUCGACGCAAUUUCUUUCUAUUUGAGCUAUAUAUAAAUGCUUACUAAAAGAUCCUUGUGUAUGCAAAUGUCUAUAGACAACAGCAACAACAAUAUUGAAUCAUGCGUCAGCGCCCAAAAUACCCCAAAGUGUCUGACAAAGAUAAGUGUCAAUUCUGAAAAUUAAUUGUUUAACCGUUGUUAAUUGUUUGUGGGAUUGUGAUGUUUUAUUGACAGAACAGCUAAUCAGUGGAUGUGAUACUGAAAAAAAACCGCAAAAUGCAAGAGCGUUUCAAUUAUUUUUGUUCACAUUCACUAAUGUACAUGUAGUACAUCAAUUUAACUUUUGAUGAUGUUUCCUGUCUUCACUUUUGCAUCUAUUGUUAAUUUUGUAUUUGUCCUUUGACACUUAUAUGCAUUCACAAUGACAUCAAUGUAUUGAUAUUAAAAUCGACCACAUGUUU